rnacentral:rRNA from 1 species
UACGGGGGGGGCAAGCGUUGUUCGGAAUUACUGGGCGUAAAGGGCUCGUAGGUGGCCAACUAAGUCGGACGUGAAAUCCCUCGGCUUAACCGGGGAACUGCGUCCGAUACUGGUUGGCUUGAGUUUGGGAGAGGGAUGCGGAAUUCCAGGUGUAGCGGUGAAAUGCGUAGAUAUCUGGAGGAACACCGGUGGCGAAGGCGGCAUCCUGGCCCGGUACUGACGCUGAGGUGCGAAAGCGUGGGGAGCAAACAGG